rnacentral:lncRNA from 1 species
CUAGACUGAGAGGACACCAAGACAAAGAGAUGAGGUUUGCAUUUCAUUCUGGCAGAGGGCCAGCAGCCACUGAAGGAGGAUACAGGGAAGCCACCUGCAAGCCUGAAGCAUGAAGAGACAACUGAAGGACAAUGCAGAGGAGCUCACAAAGAAAGCACAGCUAAUGGAACUGAACCCUGGUACUGGAAUCUACCCCACUACAAUGCAGGUGAGUGCGUAGUGGGGAGGGGCCCACCAGGUUGUAGGACCUCCAAGUGCCUACCAUCUGAAGUGCCUCCAUGUUUGCAUUUGAGCUCCUCGUACACUCAGCAUACUACCACAUACCUGAAGGAGUUUGGUGCACCAUGAUACUCUCAGCAUCCCCGCCAGGUGGGGUAGUGGAAAGAAGAUGUUCAGCUAGCUCCAUCCCCGUGCUGUUACUACAAAUGAGUUUAUCCUUAAAGAGCCAUACUCCCAGGAGUUCCACAGAGGGCUCCAGUCAACAAUAUAGUGCUCGUGGAAGGGACAGAGAUGCUCCUUGGGCCAUGUGUCCCUAAAGUACUGGCUACAUGUGGUUGGGGUCCAAUUAUCCUCUUCCCCCAUGCCCUGAUGCUGCUGCUGAGUCUCUGCUCCUUGCAAGAAACCCUCUCCUUUCUGAACUGGUGACUCAUGUGACCAUUUAUCAAGACUUUCCUCCCCAAGAUCUUUUUCAAAGGAUUGAAGAUGUAAUAAUUCCUUCAUGGGAAAUACAGGAUUGUCAAAAAUGGAUGGAGGAUGAAACGAAACAAGAAGAGGAAGUCCAGGCUUGGCUUAAGCUAAGAAUAUCCACUCUGUUACCCUGCGAGACACCAUCAAGGUGGGGAUACAUGGUCAAGAAACAUUGCAUUGCAUUCUGUGAAAGGGCCACAGAGGGGCUAAUGAGUGGUGUAUUUCACUGAGAGGUGGAAAUCCAGAUAGCUGCUGCUCUUGGACAGGUCUAAUUGACAUUAGAUUCAAUUGAUAAGGAAGAAAUUGGGAAAACUGAAAAACAGAGCCUGGUGAUCCUUUAGAGUAACAUGGUCUGGUCUGAAGAUGCGAGUGACAUUCUCCAUGAUCCUGCAAUCAAAGCAGCUAAAAAAGCUAGGUGGAAAUUCUAUUGUAACAAACUUAUCUGUAUUUAAAUUCUUCAAGGAGAUCAAUGUUUUAAAAAAAGUCUCCAAAACACAUCAUUAGCUGCAGUAUAUUCCAUGUUCAAUACAGAGACACCCAGUAACAGGACCUUGUCAUCAGGUAGGCUUUAAAGCAGGGGUAGACAACUUAUGGCACGCGAGCUGAUUUUCAGUGGCACUCACACUGCCUGGGUCCUGGCCACCGGUCCGGGGGACUCUGCAUUUUAAUUUAAUUUUAAAUGAAGCUUCUUAAACCUUUUAAAAACCUUAUUUACUUUACAUACAACAAUAGUUUAGUUAUAUAUUAAAGACUUAUAGAACGAGACCUUCUAAAAACAUUAAAAUGUAUUACUGGCACGCGAAACCUUAAAUUAGAGUGAAUAAAUGAAGACUCGGCACACCA